UUUACCGAGGACCCGAGUUCGAUUCUCGGCUCACGCAGCGUGGGUAGUAUAAUGGUUAUUAUCUCGGUUUCCCAUA
rnacentral:tRNA from 1 species